GUGCAAAAAGCAAAGCCAGCUUUUGUAUUUGUAAUGAUGGAAUUACAGUAAAGUGCUCCUUAGAUAUACAUUUUUUUUGAAAAUAACACUCAUUGCCUGGAAAUGAGCAAAGCUUCACAGCACUGUGAUCUGUAUUACAGAGUUCUGGGUGCUAAGAGCAUAGGUUACAGGAGCUGUAAAAGUAUACUUCUCCAUGGCAGACUGCCAAGCAAGGGCUUAUUUCACAUUUAAUGCCUUGUAGGAAAAAGAUAGCCCAAGUUGAACAGAUGACAAAGUUCAGUCGUCUUGAAAAGCGAAGAACCCAUGUCCUCAGCUGUUCGGAUCUUCGGGCUGUUCACCGGUUUCGAGGAGUGGUGUCAGAGGGCAGUUUUGAAAUGAGAGAGAAGGUUUAUAAAAGGAAGGACGUGUUCCAGACAAGAGUCUCGCCAGGGUGAAGUGCAAUGUUGCAAUCUCGGCUCACUGCAACCUCCACCUCCCAGGUUCGAGAGAUUCUCCUGCCUCAACCUCUCGAGUAGCUGGGAUUACAGGCAAGCGCCACCACUCCUGACUAAUUUUUUUUUAUCUUUAGUAGAGAUGGGGUUUCACCAUGUUGACCAGGCUAGUCUUAAACUCCUGACAUCGUGGUCCACCUGCCUCGGCCUCCCAAAGUGCUGGGACUACAGGCAUGAGCCACCGCACCUGGCCUUUUUUUUUUUUUUUUUUUUUUCUGUUUGAGACGGCGUCUCGCUGUGUCACCCAGGCUGGGGUGCAGUGGCACAAUCUCAGCUCACUCCAGCCUCCACCUCCUGGGUUGAAACAAUUCUCCUGCCUCAGCCUCCCAAGUAGCUAGAAUUACAGGCACGUGCCACCAUGCCCAGCUAAUUUUUGUAUUUUUAGUAGAGACGAGGUUUCACCAUGUUGGUCAAGCGGAUCUCCAACUCCUGACCUUGUGAUUCACCUGACCUUGUGAUUCACCUGUGAUAAACCUCCCAAAGUGCUAGGAUUACAUGUGUGAGCCACCACGCCCAGCCAUGUUUUCAUUUCUUUUGGAUGGAUACCGAGGAGUGGAGCUGCUGGUUGCAUAGGAAACUAACUGUUUUCCAAAGUGAGUGUGCCCUUUUUUUACAUUCUCAACAACAAUAUAUGAGGAUUCUAGUUUCUCAGCAUCCUCGGUAACAUUUGGUACUAUGUCUUUUUUUUUUAAGAGUCAUUCCUUGUAGUUUUAUUCUUUUUAUUUUAUUUUAUUUUAUUUUUGGACAGAAUCUUGCUGCAUUGCCUAGGCUAGAGUGCAGUGGCGUGAUCAAGGCUCACUGCAGCCUCAACCUCCCAGGCUCCAGUGAUCUUCCCUCUUCAGCCUCCCAAGUAACUAGGACUACUAGGACUACAGGUGUGCACCACCACACCUGGCUACUUUUUUUUUUUUUUUUUUUUUUUAGAGACAGGGUUUCACCAUGUUGCCCAGGCUGGUCUUGAACUCCUGGGUUCAAGCAAUCUCCCACCUUGGCCUCCCAAAAUCCUGGGAUUAUGGGCAUGAGCCACUAUGCCCAGCCUAUUAUAGCCAUCCUAGUGUGUGUAUAAAGGUGUCUUAGCUGGACAUCAUUUUAUAUAUCUAAUCCUCCACACUGUGUUAGUCAGGAUAGGCUAGGUUAUGCUGUGAUAACAAAUAAUCCCCAAGCAUCAGAGGCUUGAAACAACAAAGGUUUACUUCUCACUUCUGCUACAUGUCUAGUGAUGGUAAGAACUGGGAAGGAGGAAUAGUGCUCAUGAGAGACACUCAGAAACCCAGGCUAAUGGAAACUGCUGAAGUAGGAAAAGGCACGCCUCACACCAACUCUUAAAGCUUCCACCUAGUAGUAAGAAGUUACUUUAAUCUUCCCUUCACUGGCCAGUGAGUUACAUAGUAAUAGUUAACUUCAGAGUGGACACAAACUAUAGUAAUAACUUUAUCAUGUACCUAAACGGGAAGGGGAAUUGGAAUAUUGGUAAAUAAUCUAUUGACUUUCACAAAUACUAACAGGAAGGUACUAUCACCUUUUUGUUUUGUUUUGUUUUGUUUUGAGACAGGGUCUCGCUCUGUCACCCAGGCUGGAGUGUAGUGGUGUGAUCUUGGCUCACUGCAACCUCCACCUCCUGGAUUCAAGGGAUUCCCCUGCCUCAGCCUCCUGAGCAACUGGGACUACAGGUGCACGUCACUGCACCCAGAUAAUUUUUGUAUUUUUAGUAGAGACAGGAUUUCACCAUGUUAGCCAGGCUGGUCUCGAGCUCCUGACUUCAAGUGAUCCGCCUGCCCCUGCCUCCCAAAGUGCUGGGAUUACAGGCAGGAGCCACCGCGCCCUCUGAAUGAAAACAGGCCCUCUUCCAGUGUUUUUGCCGAUUUCCAAUGAAGAAGUUGACUUGAUCAAAUCCAAUCACAGAGGACUCUCAGUGUUUGGAAGAUGGUCUUGACUUUUUGAGAGGAAAACCACAGUGCAUGAGAGGGGGGUAGGCAGAGAAAUAUGAUUUGUAGCUAUAAAGGCGAUGACAGGAAGAGGGGUCUUCUUAUCUUUCAGGAGAUCAUUCUUGGACCUGAGUCUCAGGAAGGCACUCAUAUCCCAUAGAACUUAUUAACUAUGACGUGAGUCUCUCUAGCAUGAGCUCUAUCCCAUUAUGGGAUCGAGCAAAGCCACGUGCCAAAGUUGUUCUUCCACUCCCCCAGUGGGGAUGUCUAAAAAAUCCAUUAAUAAAAAACAAGGGCUGAGUACAGGGCUCAUGCUGUAAUCUCACUUUGAGAGGCUGAGGUGGGAGGAUCACAUGAGACCAAGAGUUUGAGAUCAGCCUGGGCAAUAUAGUGAGACCCUGUCUCUAUCAAACAACAACAAAAAAUAGUCGGGCAUAGUGGGGUGCCCCUGUGGUCCCAGCUGCUCUGGUGACUGAGGUGGGAGGAUUGCUUGAGCCCAGGAGGUUGAGAUUGCACUGAGCUAUGAAUUGUACCACUGUGCUUCAGCCUGGGUGACAAGGAGACUCUCUUAAAAUAAUGAUAAUGAUAAUAAUAAACGGUAUCUCAGCCAGGUCCAGUGGCUCAUGCCUGUAAUCCCAGCACUUUGGGAGGCCGAGGCGGGCAGAUCACCUGAGGUCGGGAGUUCGAGAUCAGCCUGACCAAUAAGGAGAAACCCUGCCUCUACUAAAAAUACAAAAUUAGCUGGGCAUGGUGGUACGUGCCUAUAAUCCUAGCUACUUGGGAGGCUGAGGCAGGAGAAUCGCUUGAACCCGGGAGGCGGAGGUUGCAGUGAGCCGAGAUCACACCAUUGCACUCCAGCCUGGGCAACAGGAGCGAAACUCAGUCUCAAGAGUAAUAACAAUAAAUAAAUAAAAAUAAACAGUAUCUCAAUGAAAACUUUAAUGUAGUUGUUGAGAAUGUAGGCCUAGGAUUCAAAUUGCCUUGGUUCAAUUUAUUAACGAUAUAUCCUUGGUCAAGGCACUUAAUCUCUAAGCUUCAGUUUCCUAACCCAUAGAAAGGUGAUAGUAAGUUGGGCUUGGUGGCGCAUACCUGUAGUUCCAGCUACUUGGGAGGCUGAGGCAGGAGAAUCGCUUGAACCCAGGAGGUGGCAGUUGCAGUGAGCUGAGUCGUGUCACUGCACUCCAGCCUGGGUGACAGAGCAAGAGUCUGUCUCAAAUCAAAACAAAACAAAACGAGGG
rnacentral:lncRNA from 1 species